rnacentral:rRNA from 1 species
AUUGAACGCUGGCGGCAGGCCUAACACAUGCAAGUCGAACGAGUGGCGGACGGGUGAGUAAUGUCUGGGAAACUGCCCGAUGGAGGGGGAUAACUACUGGAAACGGUAGCUAAUACCGCAUACCAUCGGAUGUGCCCAGUUGGGAUUAGCUAGUGGGUGGGGUAACGGCUCACCUAGGCCACGAUCCCUAGCUGGUCUGAGAGGAUGACCAGCCACACUGGAACUGAGACACGGUCCAGACUCCUACGGGAGGCAGCAGUGGGGAAUAUUGGACAAUGGGCGAAAGCCUGAUGCAGCCAUGCCGCGUGUAUGAAGAAGGCCUUCGGAUUGUAAAGUACUUUAAGCGGGGAGGCGUUACUCGCAGAAGAAGCACCGGCUAACUCCGUGCCAGCAGCCGCGGUAAUUC